rnacentral:rRNA from 1 species
CGCUUGCUGAAGCCUAUGCGGCCCCGCAAGGGGUGCCCCCACGACUAUAAAGAACGGGGGGCCUAGCGCAAGUCUGCCCUACAAGGGAGGCAACAUGACCGAAUUGCGGGGAUCCUUAAAGCCUAACGGUACCAACCGUCCGCGGAAACGUGGGCGGGGCCGGUGUUAACCCCACCGGAGGUUAGAACCCGUUAGGAUAGACAAUAGGUGAUCCGCAGCGAACCCCUACCGCUGAUCGCUAUGGGGUGCGUCCACAGACUAAGUGGUUAUGGGCCGUGCUUAUCGCAUGGUUUAAGAUAAAGUCGGGUCUCUUGGGUAACCAAGGGUCUAUAACUGUUCCGUAGGUGAACCUGCGGAAGGAUCAUUA